CACUAGAUCAAACGGUUCAUGAUUUCGACGAUCCUACUUCAUAAAACAAAACUUUCGGCGAAGUCGCGCAAAUCUGAAAUUUUCAACGUGAUGGAACUUAAGGUUGAUUUCAAAAUAUUAUCUGAGACGAUUCUGAAGUUGUUUGAUUAAGAGUUUUGGAUAUGUCCUAGAUAUUAAAGUCUAGUUUUCAAAAAAUUAAA
rnacentral:lncRNA from 1 species